rnacentral:rRNA from 1 species
CACCGGCAGCUCUAGUGGUAGCAGUUUUUAUUGGGCCUAAAGCGUCCGUAGCCGGUUUAAUAAGUCUCUGGUGAAAUCCUGCAGCUUAACUGUGGGAAUUGCUGGAGAUACUAUUAGACUUGAGAUCGGGAGAGGUUAGAGGUACUCCCAAGGUAGAGGUGAAAUUCUGUAAUCCUGGGAGGACCGCCUGUUGCGAAGGCGUCUGACUGGAACGAUUCUGACGGUGAGGGACGAAAGCUAGGGGCGCGAA